CACGUGCAUGCCUGGUGCCUACAGGCCGGAAGAGGCCAUCAGUUCCCCUGGAACUGGUAGUGAGCUGCUGUGUGGCUGCUGGCACUGAAGCCAGGCCAUCUGGAAGAGCAGCCAGUGCUCUGAACCCUCUUCCCAGCCCCAUGGCAUGUAAUGUUCUGAAAAUUCGUCUGUCUUACUCUAUUUUUCAUUUAGAGUACUGGAGCUAAGUGUCUGGUACACGCCCAUGGUUCCGGUACUUGGAAGGUCAAGGCAGAGAGAGGCUGAGUUCAAGUCCCUGGACUCCAGACUACAUCAAGGGCAGCACGCUCCGCAACGAAUGCUCUACCAGCUUAGCACAGCAAGUGUCAGGACCUUCUCUCCGAGCUUCCUGAGAGCAGUGAGGAUCUCCACCUUCUGCUGCGUGUACAGGUCUCUUUCCAGCUUCCCCACCAUCAGAUCUCUGUCCAUCUGCAAAGGACAACGCAAGGCAUGUGCACAUGAGCAAAAGCCAUUCUGUGUAGGAAGCCCAGCUUUUCAGUCUGACUUCUUAAAACAAAACUAUUUGGUUAAUAUCUAAAAAACUAUACAAAUAACCUGAAACAUCAUAUACAAGUGCCACCAGGAAAGUUUUUGAAAUUAAAAAAAAAAAACUUGCCUUCA